UACGGGGGGGGCAAGCGUUGUUCGGAAUUACUGGGCGUAAAGGGCUCGUAGGCGGCCAACUAAGUCGGAUGUGAAAUCCCCAGGCUCAACCUGGGAACUGCAUCCGAUACUGGAUGGCUUGAAUUCGGGAGAGGGAUGCAGAAUUCCAGGUGUAGCGGUGAAAUGCGUAGAUAUCUGGAGGAAUACCGGUGGCGAAGGCGGCCUGCUGGGCUGUUGCUGACGCUGAGGCGCGACAGCGUGGGGAGCAAACAGG
rnacentral:rRNA from 1 species